rnacentral:rRNA from 1 species
CCCUUAGAUGUUCUGGGCUGCACGCGCGCUACACUGACACACUCAACGAGUUCCUAGCUUGAAAGGGUUGGGUAAUCAUUUGAGCGUGUGUCGUGAUGGGGAUAGAAUAUUGUAAUUAUUGCUCUUUAACGAGGAAUUCCUAGUAGGCGUACGUUAUCAGCGUGCGUCGAUUACGUCCCUGCCCUUUGUACACACCGCCCGUCGCUACUACUGAUUGGAUGUUAAAGCGAGAUCUUCGGACCCUGGGUUCAUGGUCCUCCGGGACCUAGAGCUAUGGGGGAAGUAGAUCAAGCUUUGGUGUCUAGAGGAAGUAAAAGUCGUAACA